rnacentral:tRNA from 2 species
AGGAGAUUAGCUUAAUGGUCAGAGCAACUUACUUACAAUAAGAAGAAGAAAGUUCGAUUCUUUCAUUUCCUA